UAACAAUGAAUAUUAGAAAAGCUAGUUUCACUGUUUGAAUGUAAUAUUAUGUUAUUCUGAAGAAUUCUGUGACUCAUUCUUGAGAGAGCACAAAAAUAAUUUACAUUAAGCAAAAAAUUAAUGCAUUGCUUUGAGCCAGUGUUGUGUUUUAUUUUUCUUUUACUAUCAUAGUUCCAAAGAUCAUUAAUAUGGAGGAAAUAUUUUGCAUUAGAAUGCAGAAAGGCUGCCAUUUCUGUUAACUAUGAGUAGGAAACCUAAAAUAUUAAUAUACAGCAACCAAAUUCAAAAUGAAAUUAGAGUAUAGAAGUGAUUCUUGAGGAGUUUCUCAAUAAUAUACAGAACGAAUGCUGAAAAUUAAGCAGAGCCCUACAGUACUGUUUAUUUCUUCUUUGUAAAGUAAAGAGAAAUCAUGUUAACCAGGUCAAUGUGAUCCUGCAAUUUUUUUUUUUUUAGUUAACUUGGAUGAUUUUUAUCUUGCUUUAAUAGAAGAAACCCGGCCACUUCAGAGUCUGCAAAUGGAGCUCCUUGUCACUGAGCUCCAGAGAUGUAAACAGAAGUAGCAAACAGGUUCCUCUUUUAGUGUAAACAAAUAAGUGAUUUUUUAAAAAAAACUUCUGAAGGGAUUACUUGUCCAUAAUGUGAAUUUUACAUUUUUAUUCACAUAUUCAUCCAUAAGAAACACUAGGUGAAUGCAAAAAAACUGGGCCAAAUAGGCCUGGCGCAUACACACACCUCAAACAUCUCUAGCUUCCUCAGCAGAUGGUGUCUGAUUAUGAGCCACCAUGAACUGAUUUUACUCCACGUUUAUAAUACUUCUGAUGGCCACUCCCACAAGAAAACUUCAGGGUUUCUUUCAAGGUCUUUAGCCAUGUUAACUUCAUUGGGCAGUAACUUCCCUAUUAUUAAUCAGUUUGCAAAUGCCUUAAGAAGAAAAAAUGACAAAGAACUUCCAGCAAGAUAAAAGUACUGAACGGCCUUGGUAGCUCUGCUACUUUCCAAUGAAUACAGGUUUGCUUUGUUGACAUGUUAGAAGCUAUUCUCAAACCUGUAAAUGAAAAUGAGUGAUAAGGAAACCUGUUCCAAACAUAUUGCAGCAACCUGGUCCCAGCUAGCCUGAGCACUACUGCUAAGUCCAGCACAAGUGAUCAGCCAGAGGUACUGAGGAAACGCUUCUGUCUUCUGGUACAGGAUAAUGAACAUCCCCAAAUUUCAGAGUUCAUGACCUCUCAGAGUACAGAAAUCACACAACACUGCGAAAUACUUCUGUAAUUCUCUGCUGGAAAAAUUCAAUUUUAUGACAGUCAUUUGAGAGGAAGUGUUGCUAGACCUGAUAUAUAGCUUUU
rnacentral:lncRNA from 1 species